AGCUUUGCGCAGUGGCAGUACCAUAACCAAUGAGGUUCUACCGAGGUGUGGUUAUUGCUAAUUGAAAACUUACCCCAAUACCCCGUAACGACGACGUGAAACACCGUCGGCGCUACAAUUUUUGUAGGCCUCUCAGGAGG
rfam:Amphimedon queenslandica AMPQTscaffold_13423_Cont2897, whole genome shotgun sequence.